rnacentral:rRNA from 1 species
CCUCCUUGACGCAGCAGUGAGUUAUAUUUUUCAAUGGGGUAAACCCUUAACCAUCAACUCCGCUUUAUUUAAGACGUUUUUCGUAUUGUAAACCUCUGUCCUCUGUUAAUAUAAUGACGUUAGCAGAGGAGGAAGCUCCGGCUAACUACGUGCCAGCAGCCGCGGUAAUACGUAGGGAGCAAGCGUUGUCCGGAUUUACUGGGUGUAAAGGGUGCGUAGGCGGCUUUGCAAGUCAGAAUUGAAAUCCAUGUGCUUAACCCAUGAACUGCUUUUGAAACUGCAGAGCUUGAGUGGAGUAGAGGUAG